CGGAGGGUGCAAGCGUUAUCCGGAUUCACUGGGUUUAAAGGGUGCGUAGGCGGGUAUGUAAGUCAGUGGUGAAAUCUCGGAGCUUAACUCCGAAACUGCCAUUGAUACUAUAUAUCUUGAAUAUUGUGGAGGUUUGCGGAAUAUGUCAUGUAGCGGUGAAAUGCUUAGAUAUGACAUAGAACACCUAUUGCGAAGGCAGCAGGCUACACAUAUAUUGACGCUGAGGCACGAAAGCGUGGGGAUCAAACAGGA
rnacentral:rRNA from 1 species